UUCGAAAGAUUUCCCUUAACUGAUUUCGCUUUCAUUCGGCUCGAAUGCGUGAUGGUACCAAACGAAAUGGGAAACCGGCACCGUUGAUUACAGGUCGUCGCGUCUUGUUCGGGCUAUCGAAAUCACGUUUAUCGAUCCAUACAUUAGGCCAAUGUCCACCGGGUACAGGGAACGAAACAAACAAUAAAAAAACGAAGCGACCCGGGCUACGAAUGUUCACCUCCGCCUUAACCUUAGCUGAACCUAGCGAGUCGAAGGUUGAACCCAACAAAGCGUGUCAACGAGGAACUCCCUGCGCGUGCAUUCGUUGUGUGCGGUGGCGGAGAGUUGCAUUAGAAAAUGCGCCAUAGUAAGCGUAAUCUCGUUUCCAGCGAUCAACGAAUGGGGAAUUGAGCGUGUUUCUUUGUCGUAGGUUUCGUUUAAGUGACAUUUAAACGGUAUGACCGAGUGACCAGACACUGUUAGGGUAGAGCUGGGGAGAAUGGAAAAGGUUACAAAACGCAGGUACAUAACUAUGAAGCUUAAUUAGUUUUGUGCAUGACCUUUUCUUAAGGUGUUGAUUAAGAGAUUAGGAAAGAA